GCAGGUGGUGCGGAGAAGAAAGUUUAAAGAGGUGCGUGGAUAAGCUCCGUAUAUUUAUGCCCAUAAAAUUGUGGAAGAAAAUACAAUAAAUGUUUGGUAGAGGUUGUCUCUGAGUGGUAAUUAUGUUAUUUUUAUUUUUGUCUUAGAUUUUUCCACAAUGAACAUUUAUUUUCAUAAGAACAAAAAAAGACAAAAGUAAAAAUAACUAAUGCUUAUAUAACAUUUACUCUGCGCCAGGUGUUGCAAAAUGCUUUUGUUGUUGGCUGCAGCGUGCAGCGGCUUGAUGUGGGAUCUCAGUUCGCAGACCAGUAGCAGUGAAGCUCUGAGUCCUGACUGCUGUACCACCAGGGAACUCCCGAUAUAUUAACUGAUUUAAUUCUCACGCAGUCCUAGCAGAAAGUAUCAGUACUCUCAUCAUUUUAUAGAUGAAGAAAGUGAGGCACAGAAAGGUUCCCAAGGUCCCAGAGCCAGUUAAUUACAGAGCCAAGAUGAUAACUGAGACCAUGGCUCCAGAGUCCUUAGGAAAGUAGGUCUCACAGCUUAUCAGGAACUUUUCCUCUCUUUUCUCCUUGUGGAAAAACAGAUUCUUAAAGUUCCCUAAACACCACCUCCUACAUGAAGUCUUCCUGGUCUACCCAUCUUCCUUCAUAGCUGUUAGCUCCUUCCAUGUCAGUACUUCCUUUUUGCAACUGAGUUGCAGUUUGUGCCACACAAGUAGGUUAAGUUGAUUUUGUGUGUGUGUGUGCCAUUUUAACUAUUUUUAAGCAUGCAGUUCAUUGUCAUUAACUACAUUCACAAUGUUGCGCAACCAUCACUGCUGUAUGUUUCCAAAACUUUUUCAUGAGUGCAAGCAGAAACCCUGUUAACUAUUAAGCAAUAACUCCCCAUUCUUCUUUCUCCCCAUUCCUUGGUAACCCCUAACUUACUUUCCGUCUCUAUGGAUUUGCCUGUUCUAGAUAUUUCAUGUCAGCUGAAUUUUACAGUAUAUGUCCUUUUGUGUCUGGCUUAUACUUAGCAUAGUGUUUUCAAAGUUCAUCCAUGUUGUAUGUGUCAGAAAUUCAUUAUGGCUGAUUAAUGUUCUGUUGCAUGGAUAUACCACAUUUUGUUUAUCCAUUCAUCCGUCAAUAAACACUUGGGGAGUUCCCGUUGCAGCUCAGCGAUAAUGAACCCAACUAGUAUCCACGAGGAUCAGGGUUCAAUCCCUGGCCCCGCUCAGUGGGUUAAGGAUCUGGUGUUGCCGAGAGUUUCAGUAUAGGUUGAAGACGUGGCUCAGAGCCUGAGACAUGGGUCAGAUGCUGUGGCUGUGACCUGCAUCUGCAGCUCCAAUUCGACCCUUAGCCUGGGAACUUCCAUAUACUGCAGGUGCAGCCCUAAAAAGGAAAAAAAGACCAACAAGAAAAACCACUUGGGUUGUUUCUACCUUUUGGCUAAUGUAGAUAAUGCUGUAAAGAACACUGGCAUUUAGUGAUCUAUUUUGAGUUCCUCUUUUUUGUUUGUUUGUUUUUGUUUUUUGUCUUUUUGCCUUUUCUAUAGGGCUGUUCCCGCGGCAUAUGGAGGUUCCCAGGCUGGUGGCUACAGCUCCCACUCGAUCCCUAGCUUGGGAACCUCCAUAUGCCGCGGGAGCAGCCCAAGAAAAAGCAAAAAGACAAAAAAAAAAAAAAACCAAAAAAGACCUUGGUGCUGACUGUUGCUGCAGCCUAAAUGCAGCCCUCCUCUCAAUCCUCGACUGGCUCUUUCCCAUCCUCAGGUUUCAGUUCAAUUCUUUUAAUUUUUUAUCAAUUUGUUUCUUUUAUUUAUUUUUUGCUUUUUUGAGGGGCACCUGCAGCAUAUGGAAGUUUCCAGGCAAGGGGUCCAUUCGGAGCUGCAGCUGCUGGCCUACACCACAACAGCAGCAAUGCCAGAUCCUUAACCACUGAAAGAGGCCAGGGAUCGCACCCAAUCCUCAUGGAUAUCAGUUGGGUUCGUAACCCGCUGAGCCACAACGAGAACUCUCAGAUUUCAAUUCAAAUGACACCUCUGGGAGUUCUCUUAUGGUGCAGUGGGUUAGUUAAGGAUCCAGGGUUGUCAGUGCUGCCACUCGGAUCACUGAUGUGGCUUGGAUUCGAUCCCUGGCCCAAGAACUUCCACAUGCCCUGAGCACAGCCAAAACAAAGAAAUGCACUUCUUCAGUGAGUCCUUUCACCACCCUCUAAACCAGUAGCGCUGAUCCUACAGUCACUCUCUAUGUCAUCCCUCUUUUAUUUUCCUUGUAGCACUUAGCACUCUUUGAGAUAGUUUUCUUUACUUGGUGAACUUGUUCAGAGACUGUUUUACUAGAUAUGAGCUCCAGAAGUGUGCACGCCCUGUCUAUCCUGUUUGCUGCUCUGUGCAAACAGUAGUGCUUAGUACACAGUAGGCCUUCAGCAAUUACUAGAUAAAUGAGUGAAUGAAUGCCCGUAUGCAUUUUUUUUUUUUGUCUUUUCUUUUCUUUUUUUUUUGCUAUUUCUUGGGCCGCUCCCGCAGCAUAUGGAGGUUCCCAGGCUAGGGGUUGAAUCGGAGCUGUAGCCACCGGCCUACGCCAAAGCCACAGCAGCUCAGGAUCCGAGCCGCAUCUGCAACCUACACCACAGCUCACGGCAACGCUGGAUUGUUAACCCACUGAGCAAGGGCAGGGACCGAAUCCGAAACCUCAUGGUUCCUAGUCGGAUUCGUUAACCACUGCGCCACGACGGGAACUCCCCCGUAUGCAUUUUUGAAUCAUUUUCGGAUGUCUGUCAAGUCUGUAUGUUAAUGUGUGCUCAACUCAAAUAGGCCUUAUGUCAACUCUGGCUCCCUCCACUCUUCCCUGAGCUCUGGAGGGCAGGAACCAUGUCCAAUCCAUCAUUGCACCUUGGAGCAGUUCUGCAAGUGCACUGCCUACAGUGAAGGGCCAGAAUUUUAAAUUUCCAGUCCACUGCAGACUGGUACUUUUGAAAAAUACAGUAACAAUGUUAGGGAAAUGUCAGCUUGCUAGAAAACUUUCUGAAAGCUUAUUCUCGAUUUCUGUGCUUAUAGUGUCCUGAGCAGGUGAUGAACAGUUUACAGUUUGAGUCACACUGCCUUAGAGGUCCGCACAAUACAUGGUAGGUAGAUGUCAGUGUUUAGAACACUGACUUUUUCUUUCUUCCUCCCUCUCUUUCUUUUCUUCCUUCCCUUCCUUCCUUUCUUCUUUCACCACCCCACAACACAUGGAGUUCCCAAGCCAGGGAUCAGAUCUGAGCUGCAGUUGCAACCCAGGCCACAGCUUCGGCAAUGCAGGCUCCUUUAACCCACUGUGCCAGGGUGAGGAUCAAACCUGCAUUCCAGGGCUACAGAGAUGCUGCCCAUCCUGUUGCACCAUAGCAGGAACUCCUGCCUUGACCUCUUAGAAAACCAAGACAUCAUCUACAUGGGAUUAAAGACAAAGAAGGAGGGGAACAGGGGAACAGACUUCGUUUAUUGCAAAACAUCUAGUAAAUGCCAACUGUUAGAUUGAUGCUGUCCACUGGAAAUUUUUUUUUUUAAGGCCGCACCUGCUGCAUAUGAAGUUCCCAGGCUAGGGGCCCAAUCGGAGCUGUAGCUUCCGGCCUUUGCCACAGCCAUAGCAACUUGGGAUCUGAGCCACAAUGCAACUUACACCACAGCUCACGGCAACGCCAGAUCUUUAAUUCAUGGAGCAAGGCCGGGGAUCGAACCCACAUCCUCAUGGAUACUAGUCCAGUUCAUUACCGCUGAGCCACAACAGAACUCCUGCAACUUUUUGCGGCAAUGUAGAUGUUUUAUAACUGUGCUAUCCAAUAUGAUGGCCACUAGCCACAUGUGUCUGUUGAACACUUGUAAUGUGGCAAGUCAAGGAAUCAAAUUUUCUGUUUUUAUUUUAGUUAAUUUAAAUAGCCACAUAUAACUAUUAGCAAACACUUUUUUUUUUCUUUUUUGUAUGUACCUGCUGCAUGUGAAAGUUCCCAGACCAGGGAUCGAACCCACGUCACAGUUGCAGCCUUUGCCACAGCUAUGGCAAUGCCAGACCCUUAACCUACAAGGGAACUUCCUAAUGGCAAAUACUUUUGAUAGUGCAGUUAUAACAAGUUAUAUCUUUGAAAACAAAAUGCCUCCAUCUUUAGCACCUGAUAUCCAAUCAGUUUCCAAGAUGUGUCCGCUCUUCUGCCUAAAUGUUGGUCCAGUCAGACCUUUCUCCAUCCCCCAACUCAGUGGAUAGUAAUCCUGCUCAGAGUCAUGCAUCCUUGAUUUCUCCCUCUCCUUAAAUACUCCCUCUCCCUAAAUAUUCCCUCUGCAACCUCCAAUUUAUCACCACGUCCUCUCAGUAUUAUCUCUUAAGCACCUUACAGUCCCCUCUAAUUCUCCAUCUCUACCACCACCAUUACCUCUCACCUAGACAGUAGCCCCCAAACCAGCUUCCUUGCAUCAGGUCUUGCUCACCAUUCCCAGCCCCUAGUGCUCUUCGGAAAACCCUUGAGUGGCUCCCCAUUAUUUAUUAGGAUAAAGACAAACCUCUUCCUGAGCCUACAACCCCCUCCAUAGUCCUUGGUCUGGCCCUAUUCCUACUGCUGACUAGGUCAAACCCUUCCUUCCUUCCUUCCUUCUCACUCUCUUUCUCGCUUGCUUUCUUUCUUUUUUUUUUUUUUUUUUUUUUUUUUUUCAUUUUUUCAUAGAAGGCUGUCUUGAUCAAUGCAGUUCUUCUUUGAGCAUCAGGCAUAGUUUCUUUCUUUUUUUUUUUAGUUUUUAGGGCCGUACCUGUGGCAUAUGGAGGUUCCCAGGCUAGGGGUCAAAUCGGAGCUAGAGCUGCUGGCCUACAUCUCAGCCACAGCAAAGGCAGAACGGAACCGCAUCUGCAACCUACACCACAACUCACAGCAAUGCUGGAUCCUUAACCCACUGAGCAAGGCCAGGGAUCAAACCUGCAACCUCAUGGUUAUUAGUUGGAUUCGUUUCUGCUGCACCAUGAUGGGAACUCCAGGCACAGUUUCAACUUUACUUUCAUUUGUAUUGAGUUGAUUAAUGGUCUUCCACACUCCCCCAACUAGACUACCAGCUCUGUGAGGACCAAGAAUGGGCUGGUUUUGCUCAACAUUUUAUUCCCCUGCCUCACACCUGGUGAUGAUGUUCAAUAAAUAUUUGUUAUAACGGCAGUUUAGGGAGUUCCCUGGUGGCUCAGCAGGUUAAGCCAGCAUUGUCACUGCUGUAGCUCUGGUUACUGCUGUGGUGAAGAUUUGAUCCCUGGUCCAGAAAGCUCUGCAUGCCAAGGGCGUGGCCAAAAAAAAAAAAAAAAAAAA
rnacentral:lncRNA from 1 species